rnacentral:tRNA from 1 species
UUUAUAUAAUAUAAAUUAUUAUAUUUAACUUCCAAUUAAAAAAUCUGAAAUUCAGUAUAAAUA